UGUGGUAGUCCACUGGAGACCAAGGAGUCUUGCUCCUGAGGCCCCUGCUCCUGGCCCACAG
rnacentral:miRNA from 1 species